rnacentral:rRNA from 1 species
CGUACGGGAGGCAGCAGUGGGGAAUAUUGGACAAUGGGGGGAACCCUGAUCCAGCCAUGCCGCGUGUGUGAAGAAGGCCCUCGGGUUGUAAAGCACUUUCAGUGAGGAAGAACGCCUGGUGGUUAAUACCCAUCAGGAAAGACAUCACUCACAGAAGAAGCACCGGCUAACUCCGUGCCAGCAGCCGCGGUAAUACGGAGGGUGCGAGCGUUAAUCGGAAUUACUGGGCGUAAAGCGCGCGUAGGUGGCUUGAUAAGCCGGUUGUGAAAGCCCCGGGCUCAACCUGGGAACGGCAUCCGGAACUGUCAAGCUAGAGUGCAGGAGAGGAAGGUAGAAUUCCCGGUGUAGCGGUGAAAUGCGUAGAGAUCGGGAGGAAUACCAGUGGCGAAGGCGGCCUUCUGGACUGACACUGACACUGAGGUGCGAAAGCGUGGGUAGCAAACAGGAUUAGAUACCCUUGUAGUC